UACGGAAGGCAGCAGGGGGAAUAUUGCACAAUGGGCGAAAGCCUGAUGCAGCUAUGCCGCGUGUAUGAAGAAGGCCUUAGGGUUGUAAAGUACUUUCAUCGGGGAGGAAAAAACAAAACUAAUAAUUUUAUUUCUUGACGUUACCCGAAAAAGAAGCACCGGCUAACUCCGUGCCAGCAGCCGCGGUAAUACGGAGGGUGCUAGCGUUAAUCAGAAUUACUGGGCGUAAAGAGCACGUAGGUGGUUUUUUUAAAGUUCAGAUGUGAAAUCCCUGGGCUUAACCUAGGAACUGCAUUUUGAAACUGAAAUACUAGAGUAUCGUAGAGGGAGGUAGAAUUCUAGGUGUAGCGGUGAAAUGCGUAGAUAUCUGGAGGAAUACCUGUGGCGAAAGCGGCCUCCUAAACGAAUACUGACACUGAGGGUGCGAAAGCGUGGGGAGCAAACAGGGAUUAGAUACCCGU
rnacentral:rRNA from 1 species